UUUUCAGCCAUCCUAAACUGGCCAGACUAUGUUUAGAGCAGCUGAAUUGUCAACGAACAAACGUUUGAGAACUGACGGGAAUCGGCUAACGUUUGAAGACUAACGAAAACUGGCCAGGGUUUUGUUUCGUUCUUCUAUUUUUUCUUCCCUCUAUCUCCAACUCCCAUUGGAUAGUCUGGUUGCAUUCCUCUUUUGCAAAGGCUUAUAUUCUUUGGUUGUGAGAUAAGUAUUGGCGAUGGGAGAAGGCAUGGUAGACUACAGUCUACAGGAUCUCUUCUCUUACUAACCAAGGUUUUGGAGCAGGCGCCUCUUUGUUUUGGGUGUUAUAGCUGUGAGAACCCCACUCUUAGGUUUGGUUUUUUGGUAAUGACGAAAUGUUCGUCAUUAGCUGUCCCAUUAAUGAACUAAGUGUUUUUUUUUAGGUUAUUUGGUGCUUCUUUGGGUUGUUUCAGAAGGGUUUGAUGUAAGUGUCUUUUUGGUGUAGGGGGAUCUAGGGUUUGAUGUAGGUGUGUUUUUAGGCAUUACUUCUCAUUUUGGUCAAAUAGCAACAAGAACCAUACUAUUUUUUUUUUUUUGUUAUAUAUUGUAGGCUUGGAGGUGGUUGUUGUGCCUCUCAUAUAUAUCAUCUAACAUUUCCACUCUUAAAUGCAUGUAUGUUCUUUCUAUGUCUGGUCAUAUGUA